UACAGAGGGGGCAAGCGUUAUUCGGAAUUAUUGGGCGUAAAGGGCGCGUAGGCGGCCUGGCAAGUGACGGGUGAAAGCCCUCGGCUUAACCGAGGAACUGCCUGUCAGACUGUUAGGCUUGAGACCGGGAGAGGUGAGUGGAAUUCCCAGUGUAGCGGUGAAAUGCGUAGAUAUUGGGAGGAACACCAGUGGCGAAGGCGGCCACCUGGACGGUAACUGACGCUGAGACGCGAAAGCGUGGGGAGCAAACAGG
rnacentral:rRNA from 1 species